rnacentral:tRNA from 1 species
ACCUGGGUGGCUCAGUCGGUUAAGCGUCUGACUUCGGCUCAGGUCAUGAUCUUGCAGUUUGUGAGUUCAAGCCCCGCCUCAGGCU